rnacentral:hammerhead_ribozyme from 1 species
AUCCACCUGACGAGUCCCAAAUAGGACGAAAUCCGCGUCAACCUGGAU